rnacentral:rRNA from 1 species
AAGCUCGUAGUUGAAUUUCGGGAUCAAUGGAUUGGUCAUGCCGUUGGUAUGUACUGGUCAUAUUGGUUCUCACCUUCUAAGGAACCAUAAUGUCAUUCAUUUGAUGUUUUGGGGAAUUAGGACUGUUACCUUGAAAAAAUUAGAGUGUUUAAAGCAGGCUAACGCUUGAAUACAUUAGCAUGGAAUAAUGAAAUAGGACAUCGCAUUCUAUUUUGUUGGUUUUUAGGAUCGAUGUAAUGAUUAAUAGGGAUAGUUGGGGGCAUUAGUAUUCAAUUGUCAGAGGUGAAAUUCUUGGAUUUAUUGAAGACUAACUACUGCGAAAGCAUUUGCCAAGGAUGUUUUCAUUAAUCAAGAACGAAAGUUAGGGGAUCGAAGACGAUCAGAUACCGUCGUAGUCUUAACCAUAAACUAUGCCGACUAGGGAUCGGAUGAUGUUGAUUUUUUAAUGACUCAUUCGGCACCUUACGGGAAACCAAAGUGUUUGGGUUCCGGGGGGAGUAUGGUCGCAAGGCUGAAACUUAAAGGAAUUGACGGAAGGGCACCACCAGGGGUGGAGCCUGCGGCUUAAUUUGACUCAACACGGGGAAACUCACCAGGUCCAGACAUAGUAAGGAUUGACAGAUUGAGAGCUCUUUCUUGAUUCUAUGGGUG